rnacentral:rRNA from 1 species
UGAGGAAUAUUGGUCAAUGGGCGCAAGCCUGAACCAGCCAUCCCGCGUGCAGGAAGACGGCCCUAUGGGUUGUAAACUGCUUUUCCAGGGGGAGAAUUUUUCUGUCGUGACAGGAAUUGACGGUACCCUGGGAAUAAGCAUCGGCUAACUCCGUGCCAGCAGCCGCGGUAAUACGGAGGAUGCGAGCGUUAUCCGGAUUUAUUGGGUUUAAAGGGUGCGUAGGCGGUUUGAUAAGUCAGUGGUGAAAACCUG